rnacentral:rRNA from 1 species
GAACGUACGCUGGCGGCACGCCUAACACAUGCAAGUCGAACGAAGUAGCAAUACUUAGUGGCAGACGGGUGAGUAACAUGUAGGUAUCUGCCCUUUGGCCUGGAAUAACACGAGGAAACUUGUGCUAAUACCGGAUAAGUCUUUACGGAGAAAGCUUUAUGCACCAUUGGAUGAGCCUGCACUUGAUUAGUUUGUUGGUGGGGUAAUGGCCUACCAAGACUGUGAUCAAUAGCUGAUUUGAGAGGAUGAUCAGCCACAUUGGGACUGAGACACGGCCCAAACUCCUACGGGAGGCAGCAGUGGGGAAUCUUGCACAAUGGAGGAAACUCUGAUGCAGCGAUGCCGCGUGAGUGAAGAAGGCCUUUGGGUUGUAAAGCUCUUUCGUCGGGGAAGAAAAUGACUGUACCCGAAUAAGAAGGUCCGGCUAACUUCGUGCCAGCAGCCGCGGUAAUACGAAGGGACCUAGCGUAGUUCGGAAUUACUGGGCUUAAAGAGUUCGUAGGUGGUUGAAAAAGUUAGUGGUGAAAUCCCAGAGCUUAACUCUGGAACUGCCAUUAAAACUUUUCAGCUAGAGUAUGAUAGAGGAAAGCAGAAUUUCUAGGUGUAGAGGUGAAAUUCGUAGAUAUUAGAAAGAAUACCAAUUGCGAAGGCAGCUUUCUGGAUCAUUACUGACACUGAGGAACGAAAGCAUGGGUAGCGAAGAGGAUUAGAUACCCUCGUAGUCCAUGCCGUAAACGAUGUGUGUUAGACGUUGGAAAUUUAUUUUCAGUGUCGCAGCGAAAGCGAUAAACACACCGCCUGGGGAGUACGACCGCAAGGUUAAAACUCAAAUGAAUUGACGGGGACCCGCACAAGUAGUGGAGCAUGUGGUUUAAUUCGAAGAUACGCGCAGAACCUUACCAACACUUGACAUGUUCGUCGCGACUCUAAGAGAUUAGAGUUUUCGGUUCGGCCGGACGAAACACAGGUGCUGCAUGGCUGUCGUCAGCUCGUGUCGUGAGAUGUUGGGUUAAGUCCCGCAACGAGCGCAACCCUCACUUUUAGUUGCCAUCAUUAAGUUGGGCACUCUGAAAGAACUGCCAGUGAUAAGCUGGAGGAAGGUGGGGAUGACGUCAAGUCCUCAUGGCCCUUACGUGUUGGGCUACACACGUGCUACAAUGGUAUCUACAACAGGAAGCAAGACUGCGAAGUUAAGCAAAUCCCUAAAAGAUACCUCAGUUCGGAUUGCACUCUGCAACUCGAGUGCAUGAAGCUGGAAUUACUAGUAAUCGUGGAUCAGCGUGCCACGGUGAAUGCGUUCCCGGGUCUUGUACACAUCGCC